rnacentral:rRNA from 1 species
AAACGCUUGAAGUCAGUCGCGUUGGUUGAGAAUCAGCCUUGCUUUUGCUUGGUGUACUUCUUGAUCGAUGGGUCAGCAUCAGUUUUGACCGGUGGAUAAGGGCUUGGAGAAUGUGGCAUCUUCGGGUGUGUUAUAGCUUCAGGUCGUAUACAUCGGUUGGGACUGAGGAACUCAGCACGCCGAAAGGCCGGGUACUUGUACCACGUUCGUGCUUAGGAUGUUGGCAUAAUGGCUUUAAUCGA